rnacentral:rRNA from 1 species
GAUCCUGCUCAGGAUGAACGCUAGCUACAGGCUUAACACAUGCAAGUCGAGGGGCAGCAUGGUCUUAGCUUACUAAGGCCGAUGGCGACCGGCGCACGGGUGAGUAACACGUAUCCAACCUGCCGUCUACUCUUGGACAGCCUUCUGAAAGGAAGAUUAAUACAAGAUGGCAUCAUGAGUCCGCAUGUUCACAUGAUUAAAGGUAUUCCGGUAGACGAUGGGGAUGCG